UGGAAGAACUGGUUCCGAAAACAUGCCAAAA
rnacentral:piRNA from 1 species